rnacentral:tRNA from 1 species
GAGUCCUUAGAUCAAUGGUAGAGCAUUUGGCUGCAGAUCAAGAGUCACCAGUUUGAACCCUGUAGGGCCUU